GAUGAACGCUGGCGGCGUGCCUAAUACAUGCAAGUCGAGCGAACAGACGAGGAGCUUGCUCCUCUGACGUUAGCGGCGGACGGGUGAGUAACACGUGGAUAACCUACCUAUAAGACUGGGAUAACUUCGGGAAACCGGAGCUAAUACCGGAUAACAUGUUGAACCGCAUGGUUCAACAGUGAAAGACGGUCUUGCUGUCACUUAUAGAUGGAUCCGCGCCGCAUUAGCUAGUUGGUAAGGUAACGGCUUACCAAGGCAACGAUGCGUAGCCGACCUGAGAGGGUGAUCGGCCACACUGGAACUGAGACACGGUCCAGACUCCUACGGGAGGCAGCACUAGGGAAUCUUCCGCAAUGGGCGAAAGCCUGACGGAGCAACGCCGCGUGAGUGAAGAAGGUCUUCGGAUCGUAAAACUCUGUUAUUAGGGAAGAACAAAUGUGUAAGUAACUAUGCACGUCUUGACGGUACCUAAUCAGAAAGCCACGGCUAACUACGUG
rnacentral:rRNA from 1 species